UAGGGAAUCUUCGGCAAUGGGGGGAACCCUGACCGAGCAACGCCGCGUGAGUGAAGAAGGUCUUCGGAUCGUAAAGCUCUGUUGUUAAGGAAGAACGAGUGUGAGAAUGGAAAGUUCAUACUGUGACGGUACUUAACCAGAAAGGGACGGCUAACUACGUGCCAGCAGCCGCGGUAAUACGCAGGUCCCGAGCGUUGUCCGGAUUUAUUGGGCGUAAAGCGAGCGCAGGCGGUCAAUUAAGUCUGAUGUGAAAGCCCCCGGCUCAACCGGGGAGGGUCAUUAGAAACUGGUUGACUUGAGUGCAAAAGGGGAGAGUGGAAUUCCAUGUAUAGCGGUGAAAUGCGUAGAUAUAUGGAGAAACACCAGUGGCGAAGGCGACUCUCUGGUCUGUAACUGACGCUGAGGCUCGAAAGCGUGGGUAGCAAACAGG
rnacentral:rRNA from 1 species